CUGAUGUCAUUACCAUGAAUACCAUUCCCAAAUUGCACAUUCACAGCCAGACUUAAGGAAGUGCCAGCCUGGAGAUGGAUUUUCUAACAAAGGGAACAAACAGAACUUUAAACACAAAAACCUCUUUUCCACCACAUUCAGAACCUGGAAAUACACACAGCACUCCAAUCAAUCCAGUUUUUAGGAGGUUUUGGAGAACUCCUUUAAUAUUUAAUAUAUAUCCAGGCCAUUAUUGUCACCAGUGGUGCUUUAGUUCAGGGGGUCCAAACCUUCCAAAUGCCCUUUUCUCCACUCCCUCCUUUCCAUGAAGAACUUGAUGAGGAUUUUCCUGUCCUCCAGGUGAGCCCCAUUUCCAUUCCAUCUCCUCCAGGUGAGCCCCAUUUCCAUUCCAGUCCUCCCGGUGAGCCCCAUUUCCAUUCCAGUCCUCCAGGUGAGCCCCAUUUCCAUUCCAUCUCCUCCAGGUGAGCCCCAUUUCCAUUCCAUCUCCUCCAGGUGAGCCCCAUUUCCAUUCCAUCUCCUCCAGGUGAGCCCCAUUUCCAUUCCAUCUCCUCCAGGUGAGCCCCAUUUCCAUUCCAUCUCCUCCAGGUGAGCCCCAUUUCCAUUCCAUGACCUCCAGGUGAGCCCCAUUUCCAUUCCAUCUCCUCCAGGUGAGCCCCAUUUCCAUUCCAUCUCCUCCAGGUGAGCCCCAUUUCCAUUCCAUCUCCUCCAGGUGAGCCCCAUUUCCAUUCCACUCCUCCAGGUGAGCCCCAUUUCCAUUCCAGUCCUCCAGGUGAGCCCCAUUUCCAUUCCAUCUCCUCCAGGUGAGCCCCAUUUCCAUUCCAUCUCCUCCAGGUGAGCCCCAUUUCCAUUCCAUCUCCUCCAGGUGAGCCCCAUUUCCAUUCCAUCUCCUCCAGGUGAGCCCCAUUUCCAUUCCAUGUCUCCAGGUGAGCCCCAUUUCCAUUCCAUCUCCUCCAGGUGAGCCCCAUUUCCAUUCCAUCUCCUCCAGGUGAGCCCCAUUUCCAUUCCAUCUCCUCCAGGUGAGCCCCAUUUCCAUUCCAUCUCCUCCUGGAUGCAGCUCCCUGUCCUGCACUCUCUGUGUAUUCCCAUUGUCCUGCACAUCCCUUCCUGCCUCUUCCCAAUAUUUUCUAUUUCCUGGAGCAGGAGAUGUGGACUGCACAAAGCACAGAGCAAGACUCUGGGAGAUGGCAGCCCUGGGCACGUGUGGAAUUCCCAGCCAAGCUGAAUUUUAGGAGUCUCCCGUGGUUAUUUUGGGGUUGGGGGGAUAUUGAGCUGAAGAGAGGCAGAAAAUGAGCCUCUCUUCUCAUCAUCAUUUCUGGAAGAUCCCCCCAGACACUCCCUCCAGUGCCUUAUUUUUGUCCCCACUCUUCAGAGCGUUUUUAAAAACAAGGAUUGCAUUACAUAAACACAGUGGAUCCAUUUUCCCAAGUGAUGUGUGGAAUGCUUCACCCAAAAAAGGGGAAGGUUUUGAACAAAGUGCUGCAAGGUCUCCUUGUCCUGCUCACUGCAGCCCCAUCUCUCUGAACACCAAACAGCUCAGGUUCCAUUCCUGGACUACACAUCCAGCAACUGCUCAUAAAGCCCUGCCUAAACCUCAAUCCAAAAUUAAACUGAGCUUUAAAAAGCACUGUGUGGAGGCAGAACAUCCAUUGAUCCAGCAGCCCAUCCUGGGAAACAGGCAGGGCCCAGGGCAGGAUUCACUGGCUGGUGAAAAACAGGUCAGGAUGGUACUUUGGGAAGGGAAAAAUAGGGAAAAAUGAGAGUAAAUGGGUUACAAGUCAUAAGGAAAUUAAUUAUGGUUUCCACAGCAAGGUUGAUUUAUCUGCAUCUCCUCUGGCUUCAGCAGAGUGCUCCAGUUGGGAAUUGGGAUGUCAGAAGGAUGGGAAGGGGUAGAGGUUAAAAAUAAUACAUAAAUAAAUAAAUUAUGGUUUUCACACCAAGUUUGUCUGCAUCUCCUCUGGCUCUAGCAGAGAACCUCACUUGGGAAUUGGGAUGCUAGGAGAAGGAUGGAAAUAUGUAAAUGGAUUAAAAAUAAUACAUAAAUAAAUUAAUUAUGGUUUUCACAGCAACUUUGUUUUAUCUACAUCUCCUCUGGCUUCAGGAGAGUGCUCCAGUUGGGAACUGGGAUGUCAGAAGGAUGGGAAUAGGUAAAUGGAUUAAAAAUAAUACAUAAAUAAAUUAAUUAUGGUCUUCACAGCAAGUUUGUUUUCUCUGCAUCUGCCCUGGCUUUAGCAGAGGGCUCCAGUUGGGAACUGAGGUGCCAGGAGAAGGAUGGGAAGAGGUAAAUAGGUUAAAAAUAACACAUAAAAAAUACAUAAAAAUAAUACAUUAAAAACAAUGCAUAAGGAAAUAUUACAUAAGGUUAAAAAUAAUCCAUACAAUAGGUUAAAAAUAAUCCAUAAGGAAGGACGGGAAUAGGUAAAUGGGUUAAAAAUAUUACAUAAAUAAAUAAAUAAUGGUCUUCACAGCAAGUUUGGUUUAUCUGCAUCUCCCCUGGCUUCAGCAAAGUUCCAGUUGGGAACUGGGAUGCCAGGAGAAGGAUGAAAAUAGGUAAAGAGGUUAAAAAUAAUACAUAAAUAAAUAAAUUAUGGUCCUCACAGCAAGCUUGUUUUGUCUGCACCUCUCCUGGCUUUAGCAGAGUGCUCCAGCUGGGAAUUGGGGUGCCAGAAGGACGGGAAUAGGUCAAUAGGUUAAAAAUAAUACAGAAGGAAAUUAUUUAGGUGUUCACACUGAGUUUGUUUUGUCUGCAUCUCCUCUGACUCUAGCAGAGAAUCUCACUUGGGAACUAGGAUGCCAGAAGGAUGGAAAUAGGUAAAUGGGUUAAAAAUAAUACAUAAAUAAAUUAAUUAUGGUCUUUACAGCAAGUUUGAUUUGUCUGCAUCUGCCCUGGCUUUAGGAGAGAGUUCCACUUGGGAACUGGGAUGCCAGAAGGAUGGAGAUAGGUAAAUGGGUUAAAAAUAAUACAUAAAUAAAUUAAUUAUGGUCCUCACAGCAAGUUUGUUUUGUCUGCACCUCUCCUGGCUUUAGGAGAGUGCUCCAUUUGGGAACUGAGAUGCCAGAAGGAUGGGAAUAGGUAAAGAGGUUUAAAAUAAUACAUAAAUAAAUAAAUUAUGGUCCUCACAGCAAGUUUGUUUUAUCUGGAUCUCCCCUGGCUUUAGGAGAGAGCUCCAGCUGGGAAUUGGGGUGCCAGGAGAAGGAUGGGAGGAGGUGCUGGAGGAUGGCUCAGCCCAAAGCAGCUCUGAGGGGAGGAAGGAGGAGGAGGAGGCUGUAAGGUGCAUCCCAGAUUUUGCUUCCUCUCCUUCCUCAGCUGCAGCAGAACAAUCUGGAAACAAUCUUCCCAGCAGCUGCUCUCAUCAACAAACUGUUUAUUGUGAGAAAGUGCCUGGGUCAAAGGCUAAACCUCAUCCAGAACUGAAAGAGUAGCUGUAAAAAAAACCAAAAAAAAAAACUAAAACAAAAAUCCUGGGGCUGCUCAUGCAUGUGGAAAAAAAAGCCCAUGACAUUGGGAAUGAACCACACUGCAUCUGAAAGGCCAAGAGUCCACUGAAACAAAAAUUCCUCCAUUUGGUGGAGCUGGGUUCAGGACACUGAGCUCGUUUCUCGUGGCUGAUUUUGAAGCCUGCUCCAGGUUUCUGCUAAAAGCAGAAUUUACAGCUCAGGCUGUGUCUCCUCAUGGUGAAAAAAGAGCAAAAGGGAGUUGUGCUAAAAUAUUCCAAAAUGUUUUAUUAGUGCUAAGUCAGCCCCACAUGCCCAUACAAUAAAAGAAGAAUUUCUCUAACCUAUCACAAAUGCACCAUUGAUGCGUUACCCCAAAAUCCAAGUUCAGUAAAUGAUCAAUUUUUAUUUUAAAGCACAGAACACUAAAAAAUCACAGGGCAAAACCUCAUUUUUGUGUCUCAGAGCUUGCAGAGUGCACAGCAGCUCCGAGAGGGAACUGCUCCCACUGGGACACGCUGCUGCCCCAGCCCAUAAAUCUGCGCUGCAGGGGAAAGGACCCAGAGGAACAAGGUCCACCUUUGACACAACAGCACCACCCAACCCUUCACCAGCAGCCUGAUCCAUCACACUUCUGCCAGCUGAUGAUUUAUCCUACCAGAAAAAAGGUGUGAGAAGUUACGGCUCGAGCAUUUAAUUCCUCAUGACACCUACUUUGGAAUAAAAUUGUUAUUUUGCUGAGGAAAAAGUCUACAGUAAAUUAAACCUAUGUGCAACUGGGCUAAAAAUAAGCCUAGGCAGAAAGGGAAAGACAUUCCAAUUUUGCACAAAAUUCUGAGCAUGAUGCAUAUUAAAGUGGGUUGAUUUUUCUUUUUUAAAUGACUUUAAUCCAAGUCAUGUUUGGAAGCAUAAAUUAAGAUAUAAAUCUAACCCCAAAUGCUGUACACAUAUAUAUUAAAUUACCCUCAAAAGUAUUCUGUAUGGACUAAGGGGAAAAAAAAAUACAGGAGAAUUUUGUUCUCAGCUAAUAGGGCAAUAAAUUAGAUGCAAUAUAUUCAGCAGCUAAAACUGGCUCUCUUCAACAGCUAUCCCAUAAUACUAUUUUUAUUUGGUACCAAACCCUUUUUUUUUUUUUUUUUU